AACAUGUGGUUUAAUCGAUGAUACGCGAGGAACCUUACCUGGGCUUAAAUGUAGAGUGCAUUUUUAGAGAUAGAAAUUCCCUUCGGGGCUUUCUGCAAGGUGCUGCAUGGUUGUCGUCAGCUCGUGCCGUGAGGUGUCGGGUUAAGUCCCAUAACGAGCGCAACCCUUAUCGUUAGUUGCCAGCUGGUAAAGCAGGGGACUCUAGCGAAACUGCCACCGUAAGGUGAGAGGAAGGUGGGGAUGACGUCAAAUCAGCACGGCCCUUAUGUCCAGGGCUACACACACGCUACAAUGGCCAGCACAAUAGGUAGCCAAGCCGCGAGGUGGAGCCAAUCCUCAAAGCUGGCCUCAGUUCAGAUCGCAGGCUGCAACCCGCCUGCGUGAAGCCGGAGUUGCUAGUAACCGCAGGUCAGCUAUACUGCGGUGAAUACGUUCCCGGGGCUU
rnacentral:rRNA from 1 species